GGGCGGUUAGCUCAGCUGGGAGAGCACCUCGUUUACACCGAGGGGGUCGGCGGUUCGAUCCCGUCACCGCCCACCA
rnacentral:tRNA from 2 species